rnacentral:rRNA from 1 species
GAUGAACGCUGGCGGCGUGCCUAAUACAUGCAAGUCGAGCGAACGGACGAGAAGCUUGCUUUUCUGAUGUUAGCGGCGGACGGGUGAGUAACACGUGGAUAACCUACCUAUAAGACUGGGAUAACUUCGGGAAACCGGAGCUAAUACCGGAUAAUAUUUUGAACCGCAUGGUUCAAAAGUGAAAGACGGUCUUGCUGUCACUUAUAGAUGGAUCCGCGCUGCAUUAGCUAGUUGGUAAGGUAACGGCUUACCAAGGCAACGAUGCAUAGCCGACCUGAGAGGGUGAUCGGCCACACUGGAACUGAGACACCGUCCAGACUCCUAACGGAAGCAACAGUAGGGAAUCCUCCGCAAUGGGCGAAAGCCUGACGGAAGCACGCCGCGUGAGUGAUGAAGGUCUUCGGAUCGUAAAACUCUGUUAUUAGGGAAGAACAUAUGUGUAAGUAACUGUGCACAUCUUGACGGUACCUAAUCAGAAAGCCACGGCUAACUACGUGCCAGCAGCCGCGGUAAUACGUAGGUGGCAAGCGUUAUCCGGAAUUAUUGGGCGUAAAGCGCGCGUAGCGGUUUUUUAAGUCUGAUGUGAAAGCCCACGGCUCAACCGUGGAGGGUCAUUGGAAACUGGAAAACUUGAGUGCAGAAGAGGAAAGUGGAAUUCCAUGUGUAGCGGUGAAAUGCGUAGAGAUAUGGAGGAACACCAGUGGCGAAGGCGACUUUCUGGUCUGUAACUGACGCUGAUGUGCGAAAGCGUGGGGAUCAAACAGGAUUAGAUACCCUGGUAGUCCACGCCGUAAACGAUGAGUGCUAAGUGUUAGGGGGUUUCCGCCCCUUAGUGCUGCAGCUAACGCAUUAAGCACUCCGCCUGGGGAGUACGACCGCAAGGUUGAAACUCAAAGGAAUUGACGGGGACCCGCACAAGCGGUGGAGCAUGUGGUUUAAUUCGAAGCAACGCGAAGAACCUUACCAAAUCUUGACAUCCUUUGACAACUCUAGAGAUAGAGCCUUCCCCUUCGGGGGACAAAGUGACAGGUGGUGCAUGGUUGUCGUCAGCUCGUGUCGUGAGAUGUUGGGUUAAGUCCCGCAACGAGCGCAACCCUUAAGCUUAGUUGCCAUCAUUAAGUUGGGCACUCUAAGUUGACUGCCGGUGACAAACCGGAGGAAGGUGGGGAUGACGUCAAAUCAUCAUGCCCCUUAUGAUUUGGGCUACACACGUGCUACAAUGGACAAUACAAAGGGCAGCGAAACCGCGAGGUCAAGCAAAUCCCAUAAAGUUGUUCUCAGUUCGGAUUGUAGUCUGCAACUCGACUACAUGAAGCUGGAAUCGCUAGUAAUCGUAGAUCAGCAUGCUACGGUGAAUACGUUCCCGGGUCU